rnacentral:lncRNA from 1 species
ACUGAGAGUGGAGGAAUAGCUGAAGAACCUCCCAAGGUUGAAGAAUCACAGGAAGUUGUUGUUGCUGUUGCUGAUGGGGAGAAUAAGCCUGCAGAGAAAGAGACUGAGAACAAGGCAGAAGCAAACGGAGAAAAGAAUGAGCCUAACCUUGAUGCCGAAGGUAAUAAGGGAAACGAAACCAAAGAAGCUGAGGAGAAGAAGACAGGUGGUGAGCCUAACCUUGACGCUGAAGUUAACAAGGGGAAUGGAGUACAAGAAGCUGAGGAGAAGAAGGCAGAAGCUGCAGCCGCUGUAUCCGAGGAGAAGAGUAACGACGUGAAGGGGGAAGACACGAACAGAAGCGGAGAGGCGAAUCAAGUUCAGC